rnacentral:tRNA from 1 species
GCAGUGGUAUCGAAGUGGUCAUAACGAGAACGACUCGAAAUCGUUUUGUCGCUAACGCGGCACCUGGGUUCGAAUCCCAGCCACUGCGCCA